rnacentral:rRNA from 4 species
CGGAGGAAAAGAAACCAACAGGGAUUGCCCUAGUAACGGCGAGUGAAGCGGCAACAGCUCAAAUUUGAAAUCUGGCUCUUUCAGAGUCCGAGUUGUAAUUUGCAGAGGGCGCUUUGGCUUUGGCAGCGGUCCAAGUUCCUUGGAACAGGACGUCACAGAGGGUGAGAAUCCCGUACGUGGUCGCUAGCUAUUGCCGUGUAAAGCCCCUUCGACGAGUCGAGUUGUUUGGGAAUGCAGCUCUAAAUGGGAGGUAAAUUUCUUCUAAAGCUAAAUAUUGGCCAGAGACCGAUAGCGCACAAGUAGAGUGAUCGAAAGAUGAAAAGCACUUUGGAAAGAGAGUCAAACAGCACGUGAAAUUGUUGAAAGGGAAGCGCUUGCAGCCAGACUUGCUUGCAGUUGCUCAUCCGGGCUUUUGCCCGGUGCACUCUUCUGUAGGCAGGCCAGCAUCAGUUUGGGCGGUGGGAUAAAGGUCUCUGUCACGUACCUCUCUUCGGGGAGGCCUUAUAGGGGAGACGACAUACCACCAGCCUAGACUGAGGUCCGCGCAUCUGCUAGGAUGCUGGCGUAAUGGCUGUAAGCGGCCCGUCUUGAAACACGGACCAAGGAGUCUAACAUCUAUGCGAGUGUUUGGGUGUCAAGCCCGAGCGCGUAAUGAAAGUGAACGGAGGUGGGAACCCGCAAGGGUGCACCAUCGACCGAUCCUGAAGUUUACGGAAGGAUUUGAGUAAGAGCAUGGCUGUUGGGACCCGAAAGAUGGUGAACUAUGCUUGAAUAGGGUGAAGCCAGAGGAAACUCUGGUGGAGGCUCGCAGCGGUUCUGACGUGCAAAUCGAUCGUCAAAUUUGGGCAUAGGGGCGAAAGACUAAUCGAACUAUCUAGUA